AAAAUGACUCUCAACAACGAAUAUCUUGGCUCUCGCAUCAAUAAAAAACGAACCAAAAGGCAAUACUUGGGGUGAAUUGCAAAAUCCCGGGAACCAUCAAUUUUUUGAACGCAAGUUGCGCCGGAACCUAUUAGGUUGAGGGCACGUCGGCCGGGGCGCCUCGC
rnacentral:rRNA from 1 species